UGCAAACCACACUGUGAAAAUUGGCUCCGGCUUCCCUAGAUGCAGCACAACCUCCGAUCAAACUUAAUUAAAGCAAGACGAGUCAUAUUUAUCUUGCGUUUCCUCCCAGGCAUGGUUUUCUUCUAAUUGGGACUUGAGGGCAUCCCCCAGUCAGGGCGCCUUGGGCUACAGAGGUGGCCGCUGCUGGCAACCUGACAGGCAGCACGGAUCUCCAGGGAGAGCAGCGAGGGCCGGCGCAUCCGGGGGGUCCGCUAAACCACUCCCACCCCAGCCGUGCAGAUGAUGCUCAGUGAGAGGGUUUUCCUCAGAAGGACCCUGUGAGUCCUGAGCAGUGCCAAAGCAUAGUCAGGCACCGAUGCGUACAGUUCCACAAAGCCGAGAAUCCCACGGACGGCCAUGUCACGAGUCCUGUGUUCUGGAAACUCUGUCCCUGCGUCCACCAGGUGAUGACAGGAUGAUGGGGAGGGGAAGGGUGAGUUUAUUUGAAUGAGGAGCCCUGAUCCCUGCAUAGAAUUUCCGUCCCAUCCUAGGGCAUUUCCAGAGGUAGGGAGAGCUUGAGGAUACAUUUAUCACUACCCCCUCCCGAUAUUUCACAGGUGGGGAGGAGCCAGAGCGGCCAGCAGUCUGAGCCCACCCUGUCUCAUCUGCAUCGAUGCCAGAGGCUCACGGAGACACCACACGUGCAGCACGCGGUGACUGGCUGUCCUGCUGCUUGUGCUGUGGGCGGUGUGAAGGUGUACCUGUGCUCACGUCUGAGCCUGCUCCUGUGGACCAGCAGUGUCGGGCUUCAGCAACCAGGGUCAUCUAGCGACCAGCACCCACUCAGCAGCAGCAGUGCGCUGCGUGAGCCGGGCCUCCACAAGCACACAUGCCAAUCAACUGAGAGACCCACAAGCUCCAGAACACACAGGUGUUCACUGCAUCCCAAUAGAAGCGACCAGCAUGCUGAGUGUGUACCAGGGCUGGGAUUUGUCCUGAGUGGUGUCCUGUGGGAGCAGGUCAACAAGCCAGGACUCUCUCUCCUAAGCCAGUUUCAUAGACAGGGAAUCCAACACAUAGAGACAUGGACUGUAA
rnacentral:lncRNA from 1 species